AAGUCGUAACAAGGUUUCCCGUAGGUGAACCUGCGGAAGGAUCAUU
rnacentral:rRNA from 1 species